rnacentral:rRNA from 1 species
UACGGGGGGGGCAAGCGUUGUUCGGAAUUACUGGGCGUAAAGGGCUCGUAGGCGGCCAACUAAGUCAGACGUGAAAUCCCUCGGCUUAACCGGGGAACUGCGUCUGAUACUGGAUGGCUUGAGUUUGGGAGAGGGAUGCGGAAUUCCUGGUGUAGCGGUGAAAUGCGCAGAUAUCAGGAGGAACACCAAUGGCGAAGGCAGCUCACUGGGACGGUAUUGACGCUGAGACGCGAAAGCGUGGGGAGCAAACAGG